UCAUUUGGUUUAAUUCUAGUCUCUAGUAGUACUCUUUUUCAUUGUCCAGGUAUGGGGAAAUGAUACCGAAAAUAACAAUGAUAAUAAUAAUACUGAAAUAAAAUAACUUUAGCAGAAAUGCAUCAACUGGCUUGAGUCUUGUGAGCAUUGUCCUAAGAAAUUAUUUCAGUAGUGUAAAAUAUUUCUCCAGGAUUAAACAAGCCUACCUCUAUUAAGGAGGAUACAGGAAGCAGUAAAAUUAAAUAUUAUAAAUCCAGCUAGAAGGAAAGAAACUAAUAUUAAAUAUUAAUUAAAUAAUAUUGAAAAGAAAAUUUGAUAGGAAGAGGAGAGAGAUGUAU
rnacentral:lncRNA from 1 species